CGGAGUGGACGCAUCACUGGUGUUCGGGUUGUCAUGCCAAUGGCACUGCCCGGUAGCUAAAUGCGGAAAAGAUAAGUGCUGAAAGCAUCUAAGCACGAAACUUGCCCCGAGAUGAGUUCUCCCUGACCCUUUAAGGGUCCUGAAGGAACGUUGAAGACGACGACGUUGAUAGGUCGGGUGUGUAAGCGCAGCGAUGCGUUGAGCUAACCGAUACUAAUGAACCGUGAGGCUUAACCUU
rnacentral:rRNA from 1 species